rnacentral:tRNA from 1 species
UCCCGCGUAGCUCAAUCGGCAGAGCAUCCGACUGUUAAUCGGAGGGUUGCUGGUUCAAAUCCAGCCGCGGGAG